GUUUAAGCAGCCGCGGUAAUACGUAGGGUGCGAGCGUUGUCCGGAAUUAUUGGGCGUAAAGAGCUUGUAGGCGGUUUGUCGCGUCUGCUGUGAAAAUCCGAGGCUCAACCUCGGACUUGCAGUGGGUACGGGCAGGCUAGAGUGUGGUAGGGGAGACUGGAAUUCCUGGUGUAGCGGUGAAAUGCGCAGAUAUCAGGAGGAACACCGAUGGCGAAGGCAGGUCUCUGGGCCACUACUGACGCUGAGAAGCGAAAGCAUGGGGAGCGAACAGGAUUAGAAACCCUUGUAGUCC
rnacentral:rRNA from 1 species